GAUGAACGCUAGCGACAGGCUUAACACAUGCAAGUCGAGGGGCAUCACGAGGUAGCAAUACUUUGGUGGCGACCGGCGUACGGGUGCGUAACACGUAUGCAACCUUCCUGUAAGUGUGGGAUAGCCUCCUGAAAGGGAGAUUAAUACCUCAUGAUAUGUAUUUGCUGCAUGGCAUUUACAUUAAACAUUUAUGGCUUACAGAUGGGCAUGCGUUCCAUUAGGCAGUUGGUGUGGUAACGGCUCACCAAACCUACGAUGGAUAGGGGUUCUGAGAGGAAGGUCCCCCACACUGGAACUGAGACACGGUCCAGACUCCUACGGGAGGCAGCAGUGAGGAAUAUUGGUCAAUGGGCGAGAGCCUGAACCAGCCAAGUCGCGUGAAGGAAGAAGGAUCUAUGGUUCGUAAACUUCUUUUGCAGGGGAAUAAAGUGCGGGACGUGUCCUGUUUUGUAUGUACCCUGAGAAUAAGGAUCGGCUAACUCCGUG
rnacentral:rRNA from 1 species